rnacentral:rRNA from 1 species
GAUGAACGCUAGCGGCAGGCUUAAUACAUGCAAGUCGAGGGGCAGCAGCACUGUAGCAAUACAGUUGCUGGCGACCGGCACACGGGUGCGGAACACGUACGCAACCUACCCAAAACUGGGGGAUAGCCCGGGGAAACCCGGAUUAAUACCUCGUAACCUUUUUAAUUGGCAUCACUUGAUAAGUAUAGCUCCGUCGGUUUUGGAUUGGCGUGCGCCUGCUUAGGUAGGUGGUGCGGGUAACGGCCCACCAAGCCUGCGAUCAGUAACUGGUGUGCGAGAACGGUCAGUCACAUGGGAACUGGGACACGGGCCCGACGACUAAGGGAGGGAGCAGUAAGGAAUAGUGGGCAAUGGAGGGAAGUCUGAACCAGCCAGGCCGAGUGAAGGAGGAAGGUCCUCCGGAUAGUAAACUUCUUUUAUGGGGGACGAAACCCGGAUAUUCUUAUGCGAUUGACGGUACCUCAGGAAUAAGCACCGGCUAACUCCGUG